GGCAAGCAGCUGGCAGAGACCUUGGA
rnacentral:piRNA from 1 species